rnacentral:rRNA from 1 species
UACGUAGGGGGCUAGCGUUGUCCGGAAUCAUUGGGCGUAAAGAGCGCGUAGGCGGCCAGAUAAGUCCGGUGUGAAAGUCAAAGGCUCAACCUUUGAAUGCCGCUGGAAACUGUCUGGCUAGAGUCCGGGAGGGGCGAGUGGAAUUCCUGGUGUAGCGGUGAAAUGCGCAGAUAUCAGGAGGAACACCAAUGGCGAAGGCAGCUCGCUGGAACGGUACUGACGCUGAGGCGCGAAAGCGUGGGGAGCUAACAGG